rnacentral:rRNA from 1 species
AAUUGGAGGGCAAGUCUGGUGCCAGCAGCCGCGGUAAUUCCAGCUCCAAUAGCGUAUAUUAAAGUUGUUGCAGUUAAAAAGCUCGUAGUUGAAUUUCGGGGUUAGUAGGCUGGUCGUGCCACAGGUAUGAACUGGUCUUACUGACUUCUCCUUUCUGAAGAACUGUAAUGCCAUUAAUUUGGUGUUGCAGGGGAACAGGACUGUUACUUUGAAAAAAUUAGAGUGUUUAAAGCGGGCUAACGCUUGAAUACAUUAGCAUGGAAUAAUGAAAUAGGACGUUCGAUCCUAUUUUGUUGGCUUCUAGGAUUGACGUAAUGAUUAAUAGGGAUAGUUGGGGGCAUUAGUAUUCAAUUGUCAGAGGUGAAAUUCUUGGAUUUAUUGAAGACUAACUACUGCGAAAGCAUUUGCCAAGGAUGUUUUCAUUAAUCAAGAACGAAAGUUAGGGGAUCGAAGACGAUCAGAUACCGUCGUAGUCUUGACCAUAAACUAUGCCGACUAGGGAUCGGAUGAUGUUAAUUUUUUAGUGACUCAUUCGGCGCCUUACGGGAAACCAAAGUGU